rnacentral:lncRNA from 1 species
GAGGGGAUCACAACAUGAUCAAAUCAAUAUUUUGAUCAUCCUUCAAAAACUUUACCUACCAUGUAUUGUCAAUUUUGCAUCAAGAGUAAGAGGUGUGCGAAAGAUGUUAAAAAACAGUCCACAAACAAUUUUGGAUACAACAUCAAGUUUUUUGGGGUCAACACAACCACCAUUGCGGCCACAUUGAUCACAUUUGUCCACAAUUUCCCACAAUAUCAAAGAUCACAACAAACCGCAACCCUUAUGUGCAACUAUUUAUUGAGUUGCCAUCGGAUGGAAAGGGACAGUGUUCAGUGUUAACUGAAUUAGCUUUCUCGACAAUGAAAACAAACUAUAGUACUGACAAAAGACAGACAACUAGACAAAUGCAGUGUCCAGAACAUCGUGGAAGCAAAUAAAACUUACCAAGGUAGAAAGGAGUUGAGACAAUCCGAAGGUAACCAAGUUUGGCUUAAAUUGGCUAAAUGAUCCUCUAUUAUGAAACCUGUAUAACCUUGACUACUUUGCAGUUUAUAUUGAAUUAAAUCAGUUUAUGAAUACUUCUACUGUCAGGUCUGUAUUAUUUUAAUUUUAUAAGGUCUUUGACCUGGUUUUACACAGAUUAUGUCUGAGUUCAUCCUACUUACUCUUUGAAAAAAAAUGUAAAUUAUAUUAAAUCCAAAAUGAUACAAUAAUAAACGGGGCAUAUCCCGCAGUUAAAGAAAAUCAAAAGUCUCCCUAAUACAAGAAGACCUAUAUCAAGAUGCUAAAACAAAUGCAACAAGUGCGCUUGUCUAUACAUAAGAAACUUAAUCUUGCUAAUAACCUCUAUUACAGAAAAUUGAUAAUCUUCAAAAAUCAGCUUGUUCCUAGACAGUCAAAUGUAGUAGACUGUAAUUGCUAUAGCCAGACAACAUAAUUUUCCUUGAACACCUGAUGUGGAUUUGCCCCUAAUUAAAGAGUCAGUAAUGCGCUGUAAAGAAGUGAAACGCCUGCGGAAAGGAGCCAAAUCACGAAUGUGAGCCCAAACUUGGAGAGAUUUCCUGCAAGAAAAGAACAAAUGAGCAUUUGACUCAGGCUCAUUUGAACAUAAAGGGCAGAGGGAACCCUUGUUCAAAAAAGCAACUUUGUCAAGAGUAAGCAGCCGAUUCCUUUUAGCAAGCCGCAAAAUGAAAGACAUCAGCUUGUUCCUAGACAGUCAAAUGUAGUAGACUGUAAUUGCUAUAGCCAGACAACAUAAUUUUCCUUGAACACCUGAUGUGGAUUUGCCCCUAAUUAAAGAGUCAGUAAUGCGCUGUAAAGAAGUGAAACGCUUGCGGAAAGGAGCCAAAUCACGAAUGUGAGCCCAAACUUGGAGAGAUUUCCUGCAAGAAAAGAACAAAUGAGCAUUUGACUCAGGCUCAUUUGAACAUAAAGGGCAGAGGGAACCCUUGUUCAAAAAAGCAACUUUGUCAAGAGUAAGCAGCCGAUUCCUUUUAGCAAGCCGCAAAAUGAAAGACAUCUUAGGGGGGAUUGCUGGGUUCCAUAUAACAGAACACCAACUAACAGUAAGCUUGACACCUCUAAUGUAUUCAUAGACUUUGCCAACAAGCAAUUGUGCAUUGGUGCUCCAAGAUUGAAUCCUCUUUUUGGCCUCUUCCGUACUUAACUCUUUAGAGAUAAUAAAGUCCCUUAUUUGAAUGAUUUUCUUUAUCAAAACUGAAUCUGAUGAAGAAGUAUUGUAAUUCCACACAUCGCUCCCUCUGAAAUAGUAAUGGUGAACCCACCGAACCCAUAGAAAAUCUUUCUUACAAUGAAAGUCCCACAGGAUACGGGAAAGAAGCGCAAGGUUCCAGUCCUUGAGAUUAAAAAGGCCUAAACCCCCUUCUUUUUUCGGAGAACAAACUACUGACCAAGCAACCAAGGGCUUGUUUUUGCCAAUAUCCGCUUUGCCCCACAGAAAAUUACGGCACGAAUCGUUGAUCCGGUCCAGAACAGAUUGCGGCAAAGGAAAAAUCUCCAUCCAGAAAUUCACAAUUCCUUGAAUAACCGCUCUGAUCAUAUUUAAUUUAGACUUAAGGCCAUAUUUAAUUUAGAUAAAUUCCUCCAUUAGUAAUCACAGGAGAAGAAAAUAAGAAAGAAAAAAUGAAAUAAGUUUAUCUCAAGACUAAAAUAGUAAAAUGAGCUUAUGUGUAAGUUAGUAUUAAGACUAAUAUUAGCUUCGUCACAAGCUAAUUUUAGUUUUUGAAAAAAGUUUAUUUUCCUUCUUGUUUCCUUCUAUUAUAAUUACUUACGAAAAUGCCUCUUCAAACAUUUUCUUAACCUAUCAUUUUUGUCGGUUAUAAGAUGUGGUGGACUUAAUUAGGAGAGUUUAAAAGAAACAGAUGGACACAAAUUGAAGAGAGGAACCUAGUAAGUCAAACUAGCAUGUUGUGCUGAAGCAAACUACGCGCGUUGAGCCGCAAAUAUAUCAGUUUUUUUUCUUAAAUAUGUUUAAGGUUCUUAAUAAAUGAUUGAAUUUUGUUCUAGGUUCCUAAUAAAUGAUCGAAUUUUGUUCUAAGUUCCUAAUAAAUUUUUAGUUUAAAGUUUUCAAUCUAUUGAAACUUUUUGUUUUGAGUCUUUGUCAUAAUUAAGUGACAUGUGUCAUCAAUCAAACUGAUCUUUUUAGCAUUAUCAACGGUGGUUGUGAUAGGAUCACGCCAUCACUUAACUGACAAUAAAAACUCAAAGCAAAAAUUUUAAUAUAUCAAGAACUCAAAGUAAUAAAAAUAUUUAUUAUGAAAUGAUAACAAAAUUUAAUCAUUUAUCAAAGAUGUUAAAUAUAUCUAAGCUUUUUUUUUUUUUUGUCAGCUAUAUAAGCAUAAUUAUGGCUUAAAAAUAAAUGAAUACCAUAUUAUAAAGUGUGAUGCGAACCUAAAACUUUGACCGAUAAAAGACAAAAAUGCGCGCACAUGCAUGCUGUUGUUUACAAGAAUCCUAAAGAGUUUACUCAAUUUGUUCUUUUUUGUUUUCUUGUUUAGAUAUGUAACUUAAAUUUGUUUAAAAUUGAAUGCGGGGUUUUGUUACCGUUUGUGUUUCAAUCAAUAUUGUAAAAAAUCAAAUGAUUUCGUUGAAGCAUAUGUGAGAAUUGAACAUUUUCAUGUGGCUGAUUUUGCAAAAUGUAGAUUGUUUGGAUUAUGCUUAUAGUCCAUGUCUUCUGUACUUGAUUGAAGGAUCCGAG